GAUGAACGCUAGCUACAGGCAUAACACAUGCAAGUCGAGGGGAAACGAUAGAGAAAGCUUGCUUUUUCUAGGCGUCGACCGGCGCACGGGUGAGUAACACGUAUCCAACCUGCCAUCACUUGGGGAUAACCUUGCGAAAGUAAGACUAAUACCCAAUGACGUCCCUAGACGACAUCUGAAAGAGAUUAAAGAUUUAUCGGUGAUGGAUGGGGAUGCGUCUGAUUAGCUUGUUGGCGGGGUAACGGCCCACCAAGGCGACGAUCAGUAGGGGUUCUGAGAGGAAGGUCCCCCACAUUGGAACUGAGACACGGUCCAAACUCCUACGGGAGGCAGCAGUGAGGAAUAUUGGUCAAUGGACGAGAGUCUGAACCAGCCAAGUAGCGUGCAGGAUGACGGCCCUAUGGGUUGUAAACUGCUUUUAUAAGGGAAUAAAGUGAGUCUCGUGAGACUUUUUGCGUGUACCUUAUGAAUAAGGACCGGCUAAUUCCGUGCCAGCCGCCGCGGUAA
rnacentral:rRNA from 1 species